CAGAUCGCUCUGAAAGAAAUAAACCAGACUGCCGCUCUUCAGGCCAAGGACCCUUGUCGUCCAUAAGAGCAGCAAUCAAGAGAUCUUCUCGGACCUCUAGCCAUAACGAACAGCAGAGGGAUAGAAGG